GUCCUAAUGAGAAAUGUGUGCCUGGUUUUCCUUCAUUAUAAGUUUUACUCGUGGUCGAAUGAUUGACAAACAUACCCUCAUAUCGUCUUUUAAGUUCUUCAGUUGUGAUCAAUUUUUGGUUUUAAUGGUAUUCAUAGAACUAGGACCAGGCAAUUCUUCAACAUCAACAAUUUGAGCACUUGUAUUUGGGAAAGACAAUUC